rnacentral:tRNA from 1 species
GAGGGUAUAGCUCGGUGGUAGAUUAUGUGCUUAGCAUGCACAAGGUCCUGGGUUCAAUUCCCAGUACCUCCA